ensembl:lncRNA
GUUUAAGGAGAGGUUGCUAAUAUACAGAACUUUAAUUUCGGUACACUGAGCAUUGAACAUUGAUCUUCCUGAGACUCUGAGAAGCUAAACACUCAUUGCAUUUGUAAUCUGUACUCUGAAACUACAGUGAUGGAGUGUUUACUGGAUCCCCCUCUUAUGGCGAAAAUGAAAACCACUGAGGUUAAAUAUGAUUACCUCAACCCUGAGAUCAUCAGAGAGAUGUCGUCAUUGCAGCCCAUAAAGAGCAGCAGAGGUGAGAAGAUUCAUCUGGCUCUGGAGGAAGGCAUGCAGCAGGGCACGAUGGAGGCCGAGGGCAAAAUACUCUCUGUUGAGGAAAUACGGAGAAAACUUUUGCACGAGGAGGCAUGCAUAAAUAAGAAGAUAGAGGAGCUGGAGAUGGGGAGACAGGAAAUGAGUAAAGAGAGAGAAGUCUUUCAAAGAGAGUCAGCUAAAAUGACGGAGAUGAGGAGCGCCUUCCUCUUGGAGAAAGAAAACAUGGGAAGAGAAAGAAAGGCUUUCAAGAGAGAACACAAGGCAAAACAGAGGAGGAAAAAGGCCUUUAAUUCUGAGAAAGACGCCAUGUUGGAGGUGAGGAGGGCCUUCGACGUGGAAAAGGAAGACAUGGAAAUGAUGAGAAAGACCUUCGCUCAAGAACAGGCCGACAUGCAGAAGAUGAGGGAGGAUUUCCAGUUGGAGAAAGACAACAUUAUGAAAGAAAGACAAAUCUUCAACAAGGAAGUCAAGGUCCAGCGCAUGAGGAGGAGGGCCUUCGAUGCUCAGGAUGAUGCCAUGUGUGAAGACAGGAAGUCCUUCAAGAUAGAGAAGGAAGAGAUGGCCAUGAUGAGGAAGGCCUACAUUCAGGAGAAGGCUGGCAUCCAGAAGGCGAGGGAGGCUUUCCAGCAGGAGAAGGAAAGCAUGGAGAAAGACAGAAAAGCCUUUUGGAAAGAACUUAAAGCUAAAUGCAAGAGGAUGAAAGCCUUCAGAGCUGAGAAGGAGGCCAUGUGUGAGGAGAGGAAGGCGUUUCAGGCAGAAAAGGAGGAGAUGGAAAAGCUGAGGAAAGUCUUCAUGCAAGAAAAGACAGAGGUCCAGCAGACGAGAGAGGCUUUGAGCAGAAAGACAGAUACGAUGGUGCAGAAGAAAAAUGCAUCAAAGAAAACAAGUCAGAGACCAGUCAGCACAGACGCUCCAACCAGCUGCAUUUCAGUUUGUGCUUGUAAGGAUGAACAGAGUAACUGUGGCAGCACCAAGAAAGGCAAACAACGAAGAUGGACGAGGCAGUGGACUUGUAAAUCUUAACCAGCCAAUGUGCCAUCACAGGCAUUAACUAAAUAUAUAUGUUGGCAUUUAUUCAUAUACAACAAGUAUGCUAAAUAAAUU